AGCGAACGCUGGCGGCAGGCCUAACACAUGCAAGUCGAACGAAGUCUUCGGACUUAGUGGCGGACGGGUGAGUAACACGUGGGAACGUGCCUUUAGGUUCGGAAUAACUCAGGGAAACUUGUGCUAAUACCGAAUGUGCCCUUCGGGGGAAAGAUUUAUCGCCUUUAGAGCGGCCCGCGCCUGAUUAGCUAGUUGGUGAGGUAAAGGCUCACCAAGGCGACGAUCAGUAGCUGGUCUGAGAGGAUGAUCAGCCACAUUGGAACUGAGACACGGCCCAAACGCCUACGGGAGGCAGCAGUGGGGAAUCUUGCGCAAUGGGCGAAAGCCUGACGCAGCCAUGCCGCGUGAAUGAUGAAGGUCUUAGGAUUGUAAAAUUCUUUCACCGGGGUCGAUAAUGACGGUACCCGGAGAAGAAGCCCCGGCUAACUUCGUGCCAGCCGCCGCCGUAAGAC
rnacentral:rRNA from 1 species